UACGUAGGGUGCGAGCGUUAAUCGGAUUUACUGGGCGUAAAGCGUGCGCAGGCGGCCCGUUAAGACAGGUGUGAAAUCCCUGGGCUCAACCUAGGAAUUGCGCUUGUGACUGGCGGGCUCGAGUACGGUAGAGGGGGGUGGAAUUCCUGGUGUAGCAGUGAAAUGCGUAGAGAUCAGGAGGAACACCGAUGGCGAAGGCAGCCCCCUGGGCCUGUACUGACGCUCAUGCGCGAAAGCUGGGGGAGCAAACAGG
rnacentral:rRNA from 1 species